rnacentral:rRNA from 1 species
AGUGAACGCUGGCGGCAGGCCUAACACAUGCAAGUCGAACGGCAGCACAGUGGAGCUUGCUCCAUGGGUGGCGAGUGGCGGACGGGUGAGGAAUACAUCGGAAUCUGCCCAGUCGUGGGGGAUAACAUAGGGAAACUUAUGCUAAUACCGCAUACGACCUACGGGUGAAAGCGGGGGAUCGCAAGACCUCGCGCGAUUGGAUGAGCCGAUGUCCGAUUAGCUAGUUGGCGGGGUAAUGGCCCACCAAGGCGACGAUCGGUAGCUGGUCUGAGAGGAUGAUCAGCCACACUGGAACUGAGACACGGUCCAGACUCCUACGGGAGGCAGCAGUGGGGAAUAUUGGACAAUGGGCGCAAGCCUGAUCCAGCCAUGCCGCGUGGGUGAAGAAGGCCUUCGGGUUGUAAAGCCCUUUUGUCCGGAAAGAAAAGCCUCGGAUUAAUACCCUGGGGUGAUGACGGUACCGGAAGAAUAAGCACCGGCUAACUUCGUGCCAGCAGCCGCUGUAACAC